AGUGAACGCUGGCGGUAGGCCUAACACAUGCAAGUCGAACGGCAACACAGUAAGAUCUUGCUCCUACGGGUGGCGAGUGGCGGACGGGUGAGGAAUACAUCGGAAUCUACUUUUUCGUGGGGGAUAACGUAGGGAAACUUACGCUAAUACCGCAUACGACCUACGGGUGAAAGCAGGGGAUCUUCGGACCUUGCGCGACUGAAUGAGCUGAUGUCGGAUUAGCUAGUUGGCGUGGUAAAGGCCCACCAAGGCGACGAUCCGUAGCUGGUCUGAGAGGAUGAUCAGCCACACUGGAACUGAGACACGGUCCAGACUCCUACGGGAGGCAGCAGUGGGGAAUAUUGGACAAUGGGCGCAAGCCUGAUCCAGCCAUGCCGCGUGGGUGAAGAAGGCCUUCGGAUUGUAAAGCCCUUUUGUUGGGAAAGAAAAGCAGCAGGUUAAUACCCCGCUGUUCUGACGGUACCCAAAGAAUAAGCAACGGCUAACUUCGUG
rnacentral:rRNA from 1 species